UCUUUAUGUAAUUUCACAAGAUAGCCUCGUAACUUCGAGAGUAAGAGUACCUCCUCAUAAAGGGGGUCGCAGUGAUUGUUUUCUAAAAACACAGAUCUCUACAAAGUCGUAAGACCAUGUAUGGGGGCUGCGUCUGCCUAGUGUCAGAAGGUCAAGGAUGUUGGUGACUUGAUGACAGGGGAGUCGACGAUCGGAGCCCCCUGAACAUUGGUUGUAACUAUGACAAUUCUAAGGUAGCGAAAUUCUUUGUCGGGUAAGUUUCGACCUGCACAAAAGUCGUAACAAUCUGGGCACUGUCUCGGAGA
rfam:Gossypium raimondii chromosome 5, whole genome shotgun sequence.